rnacentral:rRNA from 1 species
UGGGGAAUAUUGCACAAUGGGGGAAACCCUGAUGCAGCAACGCCGCGUGAGCGAAGAAGUAUUUCGGUAUGUAAAGCUCUAUCAGCAGGGAAGAAAAUGACGGUACCUGAGUAAGAAGCCCCGGCUAACUACGUGCCAGCAGCCGCGGUAAUACGUAGGGGGCAAGCGUUAUCCGGAUUUACUGGGUGUAAAGGGAGCGUAGACGGCGAGGCAAGUCUGAUGUGAAAGGCCGGGGCUCAACCCCGGGACUGCAUUGGAAACUGUUUUGCUUGAGUGCCGGAGGGGUAAGCGGAAUUCCUAGUGUAGCGGUGAAAUGCGUAGAUAUUAGGAGGAACACCAGUGGCGAAGGCGGCUUACUGGACGGCAACUGACGUUGAGGCUCGAAAGCGUGGGGAGCAAACAGG